rnacentral:misc_RNA from 1 species
GUACAAUCUACGGUAGCCGGUCAUCAUUCCGUUCGUGUCACCCCAACCCUACCGCCGUUGUACCGAGCGGUUAGUGUAAUAAUGUUCCGCCGACCACGUCCGAUACUAUACGACGCGACAACAACAACAACAAUAAUAAUAAUAAUAUUUUAUUCGUCGAUGUCGUCUGUGCCCCCUGCCGCCGCGUCCCUGAUAACAGCAUAGAUUACACUCGUAACUCGUCGCGAUAUUGUUGUGCCUUUGUAAGCACGCACAAACUCGCGUAAUCGAAGUGUAACCGUAGACGGUGCAACUGGCCCGAACAAACACAAACAGAAACACACCGACGACCGAUCGAAGAUCCUCCGCUGAUAAUAGAUAAUAAUAUUAUAUUAUUCUGUGAUAUUACACAGUGUGAAGACCACGAAUUAUUAUAUACGUAUGUAGUAUAUUAUCAUAGAACAAUAUUAUAUUCGUGGUGAAGACCGAAGAACGGCGAAUAUCCUCGCGUGACGCCCAUUUUCGAAACAUUGUUAUUGGUCGCUCGGCACACGGUCACUGUUGCCACUCGCCGGACACCACCGAAACCGCCGUGUAGAUAAGAGGUGUUCUGUCGGUGAUAGAAAUGGAUGCCUCACAAAUUUCAUCAUGUGAAAGUGAUCCAAUGAAAGUUCUGACAUCCAAAGAAUAUGAACCAACAAAUUUUAUAAAUAACUCUCACUCCGUUGGAAUACUAGAAGACUUACAAUCUCUACGCAAAAAUGAAGUUUUAUGUGAUAUUAGAUAUGAAGCAGACGAUUGUGAAAUUGUAAUUGGACAUGCAAAUGUUUUAAUAGCAGCUAGCCCAUAUUUCCGGGCAAUGUUAAGUCAUUUCAAUGAGACCAAUAAAGAUUUAUUAUAAGAUAUAUUGAUAUAAGAGAACUAAAUUCCACAAUUUUAAAAUUAUUAGUAGAUUAUAUUUAUACUGGAGAAAUUAUGGUCACAAAAGAAAAUGUAUAGAGAAGUGGUUGAAGGCGAAGAUGUUCUAUCCUUAUCUUCUGAUGAUUUGGUGACUUUUUAUUUUCCUGUAAUGACUUUGCUGAUUCAUUCGAAGAAAAAGUACGAAAACUACAAUAUUGGUAUAUGAAUGUGUCAUUUCAUGGGUAAAUCAUGAAUUGGAUCAGAGAAAAGAUUGUUUGCCAGAACUAAUAGAACAUGUACGUUUGCCAUUAUUAAAGCCUGAUAUAUUAUUUAAUAUAUCUAAAGAAUUUCUUUGAAAAAAUACUUCUAAAUAUAAAGAUUAUGUAUUUUAUGCAUUACAAUUGAAUCUAAAAAAAUCAGUUCAAUAUAUCGCCAUUCCAAAUACAAUUAGGUGUAAAUCUAGACAUGUUAUUCUAAUGUUCAGUCUGUCUAAUACAUCGCCAAUGUGUUAUACAGAUUACACUAUCAAUUACAGAAUGGUAUGACCUAACAACCAAACUAUGAAAAAAUGCACCAGGGAUAAAUGAUUGUCGUCAGACAGCUGGUCUAGAUGUAAUAAGGAAUCAAUUUGUGUUUGUUGUGGGAUGUGUUAAUAAAUCAAGUUCAAAAUCUAUUUGUAUGCUGUAUCUUCUCAAUCACUCUCUAGGUUGCCAAUUGUUGAUAUGUUAAUUAGUUGAACACAAUUAGAAGUUGGUGUAUUGGAUGAUUAUAUAUAUUCAGUUGGUGGCAAAGAUGGUACUAAUAAUUUAAAGACUGCCGAGGUUUUUCAUGUCAGCAUUCAAAAAUCACGAAUGGUGUCUAUAGUAUGACAACUGAGAGAUAUAAUUUGGGUGUUGUGGCGGUGGUAAUAGAAUAGUUUUGAAAACUGUGCAAUAUUAUGAUCCUACACUUGACACAUGAACACCAGUUUCAAAAAUGUUUGUAUGCCGUGAAGUUGUUUGUGUAGGGGUUUUGGAGGAUCUUAUGUAUGCUAUUGGUAGCUGUGAUGGAGAGUAUCUUAAAAGUGUUUAUAGACCAAAUUAUGAAGUUUGGUCUUCUAGUCCUGAUAUGGAGUUAUGCCGAUUUUGUCUUGGAGUAGUGGCACUUGAUGGUGAUGGUAUAUUGUAUGUUAUUGGUGAAGAAACUAAAUAAUCUAUUGUCAAUACUGUAGAAAUUUACGACCCAAUUACCAAUACUUGGACCAUGGAUACAUUGUCAUUUUCAAGACAUGGACUACAAAUUUAUGGUGGAAUAGUCGUUAAUAAACCACCAAGUUAUAACUAAUUAGCUUACAAGAUGAUCUCUUGGUAGUAAUACAAACAUCUUAUUAAUUAUAAAUAGUUAAAACAAAAAAUAUAUAACUUAAAAAAAUAUUUUAAAUAGUCUAUACAUUGCAAAAGUUCUAUACAUUUUUGUUUUUGUUUCAAUGUUUAGUAAAAAUGUUAUUUUAUAAUUUAAAUUGAUUAUUUACAAAUUAAAUAACUGAGGUAUAAAGUAAACUAUAUAGCACUAUUUCAAUUUAUUUCCUAUAAAAUUUUUUUUUGUUAAAGAAAAACAUUAAUAGUGAUUCUAACAUAACAUUUCAAACUCGAAAAUAUGUUGGUGGGUUUUGUCAUAAUUUUUACUUCAGGACCUUAUAAAAAAAUGCCUAUGACUACAACAUUUAGUGAGUUACUAGUUAACAAUAUUGGUUGAAAUAAUAUAAAUUUAUUAUAUUAAUUACAUUGUUAUUGAAUAUGUUUAUAUUUAUUUAUUUUUCUAAAGAUAUAACUAUAGCUUUUAAUAAGUUAUGAGGAAUUUAAAUAAGUCAAGUGGCAUCAUUAGUCGGGCACUCCGUAAUUUAUUGUCUAUCUUAUACAGUUAUAAAUGUAAAAGUUCCUCUCUUCACACAAUAAUUUACUUAACUGUAAAGUAUAGUUUUGAAUGUUUGUUGUUUGGGUGAUGUGUUUUACCUUUUAUGCACCAAAGACUGGUAGAACUAGAAUUUGUCGACGUCGACUUACCCACUUUUUUAAUGAUUUAUUUCUAUAAUUUUUACAAGGAAAGUACUUUAAAAUAAUGUUAAUUAUAUUAUAUUACAUAAUUAUGAUUUUUUUUUUCUAUUGUUUAAUAGGACAUUACACCAACCUUCGGUGUCUCCGUCUUUAAAGUGCGUAAAAUAGCAAAUUUUGGUCUCAGAAAAUCAGGUUUAGCUCCGUUAGUUUAAAAAUUAGAGUGAAUUGACUUCUUAUAAAAUUUAAAGGGGAUAUUAUUAUCUAGGGCAUCUCAUAGGUUUUUUCUUAUAUCCCGCUUGGAUCCGCGCCUGCCAACCCUACCAACCUACAGUCUAAUGCAUGCUAAUGACCUCGGUCAUCAAAGUCUUAAACCUAAUAAAAAAAAAUUUAGAUAAUGAUAAUUAUAUUUUUUGAAACCUCGUAAAAGCUAUAACAUAAUGAAGAACUGCAUAUUGAUGCAAACCUAAUGGUUACUGCUAUUUUUUAUAAAUUUCAAAUGUACUAUACUAAUGUCAGAAUGUCAAUAAAAUUGUUUCGGCAUUGGAA